rnacentral:rRNA from 1 species
UGAACUCGGCAAAUUGCCCCCGUAACUUCGGGAGAAGGGGGGCCUCCGCUGGUGAUCAGACUUGCUUUGUGAGCUGGUGGGGGUCGCAGAGGCCAGGGGGAAGCGACUGUUUACUAAAAACACAGGUCCGUGCGAAGUCGUAAGACGAUGUAUACGGACUGACGCCUGCCCGGUGCUGGAACGUUAAGGGGACCGGUUAGCGCAUUUCGGUGUGCGAGGCUGAGAACUUAAGCGCCAGUAAACGGCGGUGGUAACUAUAACCAUCCUAAGGUAGCGAAAUUCCUUGUCGGGUAAGUUCCGACCUGCACGAAUGGCGUAACGACUUCCCCGCUGUCUCAACCGCAGACCCGGCGAAAUUGCACUACGAGUAAAGAUGCUCGUUACGCGCAGCAGGACGGAAAGACCCCGGGACCUUCACUACAGCUUGACAUUGGCGUUUGGAACGUCUUGUGUAGGAUAGGUGGGAGACUGUGAAGCUGUCACGCUAGUGGCGGUGGAGUCAUUGGUGAAAUACCACUCUGGUCGUUUUGAACGUCUAACUUCGGUCCGUGAUCCGGAUCAGGGACAGUGUCUGGUGGGUAGUUUAACUGGGGCGGUUGCCUCCUAAAGAGUAACGGAGGCGCCCAAAGGUUCCCUCAGCCUGGUUGGUAAUCAGGUGUCGAGUGUAAGUGCACAAGGGAGCUUGACUGUGAGACCGACGGGUCGAGCAGGAGCGAAAGCUGGGACUAGUGAUCCGGCGGUGGCAUGUGGAAGCGCCGUCGCUCAACGGCUAAAAGGUACCCCGGGGAUAACAGGCUGAUCUUCCCAAGAGUCCAUAUCGACGGGAUGGUUUGGCACCUCGAUGUCGGCUCGUCGCAUCCUGGGGCUGGAGUAGGUCCCAAGGGUUGGGCUGUUCGCCCAUUAAAGCGGUACGCGAGCUGGGUUUAGAACGUCGCGAGACAGUUCGGUCCCUAUCCGCUGCGCGCGCAGGAGACUUGAAAGGAGCUGUCCCUAGUACGAGAGGACCGGGACGGACGAACCUCUGGUGUGCCAGUUGUUCCGCCAGGAGCAUGGCUGGUUGGCUACGUUCGGAAGGGAUAACCGCUGAAAGCAUCUAAGCGGGAAGCUCGCCUUGAGAUGAGGUCUCCCACCACGAAAGUGGGUAAGGCCCCCGGGAGACGACCGGGUUGAUAGGCCGGAGGUGGAAGCAUGGUAACGUGUGGAGCUGACCGGUACUAAUAGGCCGAGGACUUGACCUC